rnacentral:rRNA from 1 species
UACGUAGGUGGCGAGCGUUAUCCGGAUUUAUUGGGUUUAAAGGGUGCGUAGGCGGGAUGCCAAGUCAGCGGUAAAAAUGCGGUGCUCAACGCCGUCGAGCCGUUGAAACUGGCGUUCUUGAGUGGGCGAGAAGUAUGCGGAAUGCGUGGUGUAGCGGUGAAAUGCAUAGAUAUCACGCAGAACUCCGAUUGCGAAGGCAGCAUGCCGGCUUCCUACUGACGCUGAAGCACGAAAGCGUGGGGAUCGAACAGG